GACGAACGCUGGCGGCGUGCCUAAUACAUGCAAGUAGAACGCUGAAGGAGGAGCUUGCUUCUCUGGAUGAGUUGCGAACGGGUGAGUAACGCGUAGGUAACCUGCCUGGUAGCGGGGGAUAACUAUUGGAAACGAUAGCUAAUACCGCAUAAUAGUAGAUGUUGCAUGACAUUUGCUUAAAAGGUGCAAUUGCAUCACUACCAGAUGGACCUGCGUUGUCGUAGCUAGUUGGUGGGGUAACGGCUCACCAAGGCGACGAUACAUAGCCGACCUGAGAGGGGGGUCGGCCACACUGGGACUGGGACACGGCCCAGACUCCUACGGGAGGCAGCAGUAGGGAAUCUUCGGAAAUGGACGGAAGUCUGACCGAGCAACGCCGCGGGAGUGAAGAAGGGUUUCGGAUCGUAAAGAUCUGUUGUAAGAGAAGAACGAGUGUGAGAGUGGAAAGUUCACACUGUGACGGUAUCUUACCAGAAAGGGACGGCUAACUACGUG
rnacentral:rRNA from 1 species